rnacentral:rRNA from 1 species
UACGUAGGGUGCGAGCGUUAAUCGGAAUUACUGGGCGUAAAGCGUGCGCAGGCGGUUGUGCAAGACCGAUGGUGAAAUCCCCGGGCUUAACCUGGGAACUGCAUUGGUGACUGCACGGCUAGAGUGUGUCAGAGGGGGGUAGAAUUCCACGUGUAGCAGUGAAAUGCGUAGAGAUGUGGAGGAAUACCGAUGGCGAAGGCAGCCCCC